CAAUGAAUAUCCUCUGCUUAAAUAUGAAAUGGGCAUAAAAUGUUAGUGACUUGACUUAAACAGUUUCCUAAAUUUCUAUUUUUGAAGCUUGGGUCUUUGUAGCUUGGCAAUUUUGACUUUGCUUCAAAAAAGUUUACACACCUCUAAAAUUACUUUUCUGCUUAAUUCUCUCACUACAAGUGCUGUGUACCCUGUUUAACAGAUAUUUUUGGAAUCUCCAUUUUCUAGUAGGGCAAUAGGUAUAUUGAAACGACAAAACUGUUGCUCCCCUUCAAAAUGAUUGACCCAAGAGCCGGGAAUAGAAUUUGCUCUGCUUCCAGGAUGCAGGUGUGGGGCAGUCUGGGUGAUGGUCAAGGUCCACCCCGAUUCCUGGCUCCCUCUCCAGAUCCCCUACCUAGUGGCUGCCCACUACUCAGGACAAAGAGCUCCACUGAAGCAGCAGAGAGGAGGCAGAUUAGACUCGGCACCAAGAGCCGUUGAUAAGCAGCUGUAGGUUGCGGCCAUUACAAAUCUGUGGCCAAAAACC
rnacentral:lncRNA from 1 species